UUGAGAAAAUUAUAUAAAAGGAAAGGUGUUGAGGAAUUUUCCUUUUAACAAAAGAGUUAUAUCGUCUGCGUAGGCAUCCACUUGGCAGCCCCGUUCCUCAAGUUCUUUCAAAAAGUUCCGUGUACUUCGCCACUCUUCCACAGUCGUUCUGUCGCAAAGAAGGCAGUUGAUGAUAUCUUAAGAUUAGCUUCGACCUCAAACUUAUUCAGAGCUGCUAUAAUCGCCUAUGGCCGUACGUUGUUAACGGCCUACACGAUAUCAAGAAAGGUAACGUUGCUGAAGGCUUCAGUUCGUGUCCGAACCAAUACGACGCUGGCUUUCUUUUGUCGUGCCUUCGCAAGAAUCUUCGUCGCCGAGACUAGCAGUCACAACGUCUUCGUUGCUGAAAUUAUAUAAGAAGAAGCAUUAAGUUCGUUACGGACAAGUAGACCAAAGGGGAUACUUUUUAAGCCGUUGAACAAAAAUACAACUCUGUAUGGCGAUAAAAGUUUUGGAAGUUUCGUAAACGACGGUCAAACUUGUGCGCUUAAACGGGUUUUGAUUCGUUAUUACACUGACAAACACAACGGGCUUAAAAUUUCUAAAUUUUAAUUAGUUACUGUUCCACCCGAAACUUUCCGAAGGACGUUUAAAGACUGUUGAACCACCUUCUCGCGAUUUUAAUGGAGCGAACAAGGUUUGGGCUGUCAUUUGUUUUAGUCAUUGCACUUUAUCACCGUUAGAGGAGCAGAUUAGUGCGCUUCUGGCAAUGGAGGCAGGUGGCUAAUUUGAACGAAAAAAACAAGAAAAAAAAAACAAAUUGUAAAUAACAAAAUUAGAGAUUAAAAAGUAAAUGCUAGGAAUUGAA
rnacentral:lncRNA from 1 species